GACUCAGUGGAUCCAAUGGUAAAGUGCUCGUCGCGGAGCCAGAGGGUCCUGGGUUCGAUCCCCAACGGGGUCG
rnacentral:tRNA from 1 species